GACAGAGGGUGCAAACGUUGUUCGGAAUUACUGGGCGUAAAGCGUGCGCAGGCGGUUCGUUGUGUCGGCGGUGAAAGCCCCGGGCUUAACCUGGGAAUGGCCGUCGAAACUGGCGAACUGGAGUGUGGCAGAGGGGGGUGGAAUUCCGCGUGUAGCAGUGAAAUGCGUAGAGAUGCGGAGGAACACCGAUGGCGAAGGCAGCCCCCUGGGCUAACACUGACGCUCAGGCACGAAAGCGUGGGGAGCAAACAGG
rnacentral:rRNA from 1 species